rnacentral:rRNA from 1 species
UACGAAGGGUGCAAACGUUAUUCGGAAUCACUGGGCGUAAAGGGUGCGUAGACGGUAUGUUAAGUUCGUUGUUAAAGGCUCCGGCCUAACUGGAGUACUGCGAUGAAAACUGGCGUGCUAGAGGGUGAAAGAGAGAAGUGGAAUUCCCGGAGUAGCGGUAAAAUGCGUGGAUCUCGGGAGGAACACCAAUGGCGAAGGCAGCUUCUUGGUUCAUACCUGACGUUGAGGCACGAAAGCGUGGGGAGCAAACAGG